AAAGGGAGACCUAAUUCAGGUAGGAGACGAAAAAAAAGUAGUCCCAACCAAGAAUCAAUCCCAAAAGGUCGGAGCGAGGUAUGAGGCUUUCAAACUAGGUUCUGGGUUCAUAAAAGACCUGAAUCAGGAACAAGGGCUAUUAGCUCAGGUGGUUAGAGCGCACCCCUGAUAAGGGUGAGGUCCCUGGUUCGAGUCCAGGAUGGCCCACCUGCACAGGUGGCAAAAACAAUGAAAAGAAGCUCCGAAUCAGCACCUUAUCUUACUUAUAUAGUAAGAGAGAAUGCUGGCUCUGAGUUCAGAGUCCAGAGGAACCUUGAAAACUGCAUAGAGCUAGGUGAAAAAGCCAAAAAAGAAGACCGCAAG
rnacentral:tRNA from 1 species